UAUAAAGUUGUUUUUUUUAAUCUCAUUCUUCAUAGUGCUCAUUGGAAGUUAGCUGAAAUAUCUUGCAUACAUAAUAUGAAGGCAAGAAACAAUGGUGAAAACUAUGAUUGGAAAAAAUCAAAUAUGGCCUAAAAGAGAUUGACAGAAAACCAGAUAGCUAUAUACUAUGACUAAUUAUAAAAGCAACAGCUUAUAAGAAUGUAAAGGAGCUACCAAUAGACAAUCUAUACAAACUGAUGUCUUAAUCCCAAAGAUUCACAACUUCUUGCUGCAGAAUCAUCUUCAACUUUUGUAGGAAGGAAUAACAGUAAAAUAAAUGAAUCUUGUAUAG